AGGACGAACGCUGGCGGCGUGCUUAACACAUGCAAGUCGAACGGUAAGGCCUUUCGGGGUACACGAGUGGCGAACGGGUGAGUAACACGUGGGUGAUCUGCCCUGCACUUUGGGAUAAGCCUGGGAAACUGGGUCUAAUACCGAAUAUGACCAUGGGAUGCAUGUCUUGUGGUGGAAAGCUUUUGCGGUGUGGGAUGGGCCCGCGGCCUAUCAGCUUGUUGGUGGGGUUACGGCCUACCAAGGCGACGACGGGUAGCCGGCCUGAGAGGGUGUCCGGCCACACUGGGACUGAGAUACGGCCCAGACUCCUACGGGAGGCAGCAGUGGGGAAUAUUGCACAAUGGGCGAAAGCCUGAUGCAGCGACGCCGCGUGAGGGACGAAGGCCUUCGGGUUGUAAACCGUCUUUCAGCACAGACGAAGCGCAAGUGACGGUAUGUGCAGAAGAAGGACCGGCCAACGUACGUGCCAGCAGCCGCGGUAA
rnacentral:rRNA from 1 species